ensembl:lncRNA
CAGGUCCCCAGCAUUCCAGGGGUCCAUCCCCCAGACCCUCGCCAGCCAAGUCUUCAGCCCACCUGGAGAGGCCAAAGACAGCGCCCUCUGCUGUUCAGAAGCAGAAGCCAGUACAGUCAGUGAAUGGUUACUACCAGCUGACUGGUGUAGUCUCUCAUUUGGGAGGCUCCGCAAACUCCGGGCACUACAUUAGUGACAUAUUGCAUGCCAGUGGGAACUGGUUCUGCUGUAACGACAGCCAGGUAUCAAUGUCCAAUGAAGCCACUGUGCUGAGGACCAGAGCCCGGAGUGCCUACAUGCUCUUCUAUAUGUUCAGGGCAAUAGAGCGGGAGGCCCCAGCACACAGGGCCUAACAGGGCCACCAGCAUCAGCCCCAGCCUAAACAGGGGCAGCACCUGGACCAGCCUCCAAACACUCAGACCUGUCUCAACAGGGAUAGUAGCAGGCCCAGUCUCAAAACCCCCAGCCCAGCCUCAACAGGGGUAGUACCAGGCCCAGUCUCAAACCCCCAGCCCAGCCUCAACAGGGGUAGUACCAGGCCCAGUCUCAAAACCCCCAUCCCAGCCUCAACACUCACACACCUGCCUCAAAAGGGGUAGCAUUUGGCCCAACAUCAACACACCCAGCCCAGCCUCAACAUGGGAAGAACCAGGUCCAGCCUCAACAUGGGCAGAACAAGACCCAGCCCCAACACCCUCAGACCUGCCUCAACAGGAAGAUUUAUCGUCUGGGAUUCAGGCCGGUCCUAACAGGAAACGUGACAAAGGGAAGCAGCUGUAAUGGAGCCUUCUAACACCCAAUCAGGUCUGGAGGAGGAAUGUCACAUAAAGAUUCAGAGAUGCUAUGAGUAUCUUUUGAAGUUACACCCCAGUUGUAUUCCAUUUGAAUAAAUACAGACAUGAAAAUGCUGGGCUAUGGAUGUGACCUUAGUUCUGUGAGUAGAAUAACGGGUCACCAAACAACCUAUGGGAACUCCUUCCCUUUCACGUGAUAUGAUUGAGAUGCUUAAUAUCAACGAUGUUUACAAUGACGCCACACCCUUACUGUACCAUUGUGACCUGUCACUAUUAAAGCCGAU